rnacentral:rRNA from 1 species
GACAGAGGGUGCAAACGUUGUUCGGAAUUACUGGGCGUAAAGCGUGUGUAGGUGGUUUGUUAAGUCAGACGUGAAAGCCCCGGGCUCAACCCGGGAAGUGCGCUUGAUACUGGCAAACUUGAGUGUCGGAGAGGUUGGUAGAAUUCUCGGUGUAGAGGUGAAAUUCGUAGAUAUCGAGAGGAAUACCGGCGGCGAAGGCGGCCAACUGGACGAACACUGACGCUGAGACACGAAAGCGUGGGGAGCAAACAGG